rnacentral:rRNA from 1 species
CAAUGAGCGAAAGCUUGACGCAGCGACACCGCGUGGGGGAUGAAGGCCCUCGGGUUGUAAACCCCUUUCGGCAGGGACGAAGCGAAAGUGACGGUACCUGCAGAAGAAGCUCCGGCUAACUACGUGCCAGCAGCCGCGGUAAGACGUAGGGAGCGAGCGUUGUCCGGAUUCAUUGGGCGUAAAGCGCGCGCAGGCGGCCAGGCAAGUCGGGUGUGAAACUCCGGGGCUCAACCCCGGACCUGCACCCGAUACUGCUUGGCUAGAGGUAGGUAGGGGAGAUCGGAAUUCCUGGUGUAGCGGUGAAAUGCGCAGAUAUCAGGAGGAACACCGGUGGCGAAGGCGGAUCUCUGGGCCUUACCUGACGCUCAGGCGCGAAAGCUAGGGGAGCGAACAGGAUUAGAUACCCUGGUAGUCCUAGCCGUAAACGUUGGGUGCUAGGUGUGGGCGGAUAUUGACCCCGUCCGUGCCGAAGCUAACGCAUUAAGCACCCCGCCUGGGGAGUACGGCCGCAAGGCUA